AACGAACGCUGGCGGCAGGCUUAACACAUGCAAGUCGAGCGCCCCGCAAGGGGAGCGGCAGACGGGUGAGUAACGCGUGGGAAUCUACCCAUCUCUACGGAAUAACGCAUGGAAACGUGUGCUAAUACCGUAUACGUCCUCCGGGAGAAAGAUUUAUCGGAGAUGGAUGAGCCCGCGUUGGAUUAGCUAGUUGGUGGGGUAAGGGCCUACCAAGGCGACGAUCCAUAGCUGGUCUGAGAGGAUGAUCAGCCACACUGGGACUGAGACACGGCCCAGACUCCUACGGGAGGCAGCAGUGGGGAAUAUUGGACAAUGGGCGCAAGCCUGAUCCAGCCAUGCCGCGUGAGUGAUGAAGGCCCUAGGGUUGUAAAGCUCUUUCACCGGUGAAGAUAAUGACGGUAACCGGAGAAGAAGCCCCGGCUAACUUCGUGCCAGCAGCCGCAGUAAGAC
rnacentral:rRNA from 1 species